GCCCGUUUGGCUUAGUGGUACAGCGUCUCACUCGUAAGUUUCACAUCUAUGUAUCUACACACCGAUAGGGUACGUAUGUGGCAUGUAUAUGCGACAUGAGAAGAUCCUCGGUUCGAUUCCGAGAAUGGGCA